GCGGCCGCGAAUUCGCCCUUGCAUAUCAAUAAGCGGAGGAAAAGAAACUAACAAGGAUUCCCCUAGUAACGGCGAGUGAAGAGGGAAGAGCUCAAAUUUUAAAUCUGCCUUGUUUCAAGGUCGAGUUGUAAUUUGAAGAAGCGUUUUCUUGGGCUCGCGGCCGGUAGAAGUUCUUUGGAACAGGACAUCAUAGAGGGUGACAAUCCCGUCUGCGACCGGUCGUGUGUUCAUCUACGAUACGCUUUCAAAGAGUCGAGUUGUUUGGGAUUGCAGCUCCAAAUGGGUGGUAAACAUCACCUAAGGCUAAAUAUUGGCGAGAGACCGAUAGCGAGCAAGUACCGUGAGGGAAAGAUGAAAAGAACUUUGAAAAGAGAGUUAAACAGUACGUGAAAUUGUUGAAAGGGAAACGAUUGAAGUCAGUCGUGCUGGCGCGAAAUCAACCCUCUCGUCGAGAGGACACAUGGCGUGGCGAGCCUCAAAACCGUCACGAAGCGUGAACUCUUGGCGAAAAGGAGCACUUUCGUGUCCGCUGGUUAACAUCAAUUUCGAACGUCAUAAAAAGGCUGGAGGGAUGUGGCUCCUUCGGGAGUGUUAUAACCUUUAGCGGAAUGUGGUGGUCGGGAUUGAGGAUUGCAACGAAUACCUUUAGGGCUGUUCCACCUGGCCUCUCUUUGGUAUCCUGGUGACGACAGCUUGCUGACGUUGUUAGGAUUCGCCAU
rnacentral:rRNA from 1 species